rnacentral:rRNA from 1 species
ACGUAGGUGGCAAGCGUUGUCCGGAAUUAUUGGGCGUAAAGCGCGCGCAGGUGGUUAUAUAAGUCUGAUUUUAAAGUUAAGGGCUCAACCCCGUUAUGGCUUGGAAACUGGAUGACUUGAGUACAGGAGAGGAAAGCGGAAUUCCCAGUGUAGCGGUGAAAUGCGUAGAUAUUGGGAGGAACACCAGUGGCGAAGGCGACUUACUGGGCUGUAACUGACACUGAGGCGCGAAAGCGUGGGGAGCAAACAG